UCUCCUGGAAAAGGGUGGUAAUGCCGGAUGCUCCAGUUGAUCGCAUGGUCUUCUGGGAAAGCUUUCGCGGUAUGGGAUGGGGUCGCGUCCUAUCAGCUUGACGGCGGGGUAACGGCCCACCGUGGCUUCGACGGGUAGCCGGCCUGAGAGGGCGACCGGCCACAUUGGGACUGAGAUACGGCCCAGACUCCUACGGGAGGCAGCAGUGGGGAAUAUUGCACAAUGGGCGCAAGCCUGAUGCAGCGACGCCGCGUGAGGGAUGGAGGCCUUCGGGUUGUAAACCUCUUUUAUCGGGGAGCAAGCGAGAGUGAGUUUACCCGUUGAAUAAGCACCGGCUAACUACGUGCCAGCAGCCGCGGUAAUACGUAGGGUGCAAGCGUUAUCCGGAAUUAUUGGGCGUAAAGGGCUCGUAGGCGGUUCGUCGCGUCCGGUGUGAAAGUCCAUCGCUUAACGGUGGAUCCGCGCCGGGUACGGGCGGGCUUGAGUGCGGUAGGGGAGACUGGAAUUCCCGGUGUAACGGUGGAAUGUGUAGAUAUCGGAAAAGAACACCACCC
rnacentral:rRNA from 1 species